rnacentral:rRNA from 1 species
AUUAAAACAGUAAUUGUUUGCUUGGAAACAAUCCGACUUUCGGAUACCUGCGGCAAUUCUACAGCUAAUACGUGACGGCUUUUUCGGAAGCGGUGCAUGUUAAUUAGGACAAUCGGUAGAGGUUACUUUACCUUGAAAGAACACCUUCAUGCGUGAAUCGUGUUACGAUACGAAUGUCCAUCGAAGUUUCUGACCUAUCAGGCUCCGACGGUUGGGUAUUGGCCAACUGUGCCUAUAACGGGUGACGGGGGAUUAGGGUUUGAUUCCGGAGAGGGAGCAUGAGAGAUGGCUACCACAUCUAAGGAAGGCAGCAGGCGCGCAAAUUACCUAUCUUUAACACGGAGAGGUAGUAAACAGAAAUAAUGACGCGCGAUUUUUAUUGUGCGAUCGGAAUGGAUAGCUUGUAAACAAGGCUAUGAAAUCAACUAGAGGGCAAGUCUGGUGCCAGCAGCCGCGGUAAUUCCAGCUCUAAUAGCGUAUAUUAAAGUUGUUGCAGUUAAAACGUUCGUAGUCUACCUCUGUCUGCGCGGUUGAUUGGGGGCCUAUGGCGUUCCAAGCAGUUCCGACAGAGAGUAUGCAGCUUCCGCCGGGCAUGCUUCAUGCACGGACGCAGGUUGCAUUGUACUUUGAGUGAAUCGACGUGUUUCACGCAGAUUAAUGUCUUGGACGAUCUACCAUGGUAUAAAAAUAGUUUGAAUAUGCCACAUUGGUUGUUUCGAGGUGCAUUCUACUGCCAAAAGAACGGUUGAGGGCAUUCGUAUUCAACUGCCAGAGGUGAAAUUCUUUGAUUAGUUGAGGACGACCUACUGCGAAAGCAUUUGCCAAAGACCUGUCUUCUGAUCAAGAACGAAAGUUAGGUGACCGAAGAUGAUUAGAUACCGUCGUGGUCGUAACUAUAAACGUUGCUAACCGAGCGCCGGUGUGGUUUUACUAUGCUAUUUCGGAACUUUUUGAGAAAUCAUGAGUCUCUAAGUUCUGGGGGGAGUAUAGUUGCAAGGCCGAAACUUAAAGGAAUUGACGGAAGGGCACCACCAGGAGUGGAGCUUGCGGCUUAAUUUGACUCAACACUGAAAAGCUUACUAGAACAAGACAUGGGAAUGAUUGACAGACUAAUCGCUCUUUCUUGAUUUCAUGGGUGGUGGUGCAUGGCCGUUCUUAGUUCGUGGAGUAAUUUGUCAGGUUAAUUCCGUUAACGAACGAGAUUUUGCCUUACUUAUUCGGGACGGACGACCCGUAAUGUCCAUCGUUAGCAGGAUUGUGUGUGUUUAACACAAGGAAGCGCGAAGCAGUAACAGGUCUGUGAUGCCCUUAGAUGCUCUAGGCAGCAUGCGUGCUACAUUGGUGUAUUCAGUAUGUGCUGUUUCCCGAAAGUGUGGUGCAAUCAUUAAUGUACAGCAAUCCAGGGAUUAUUUGGUGAUAUAUUGAAUAUCAAUGAGGAAUUCCUAGUAAGCAUGUGUCAUCAGCUUGUGCUGAUUAUGUCCCUGCCCUUUGUACACACCGUCUGUCGCAUCUAUCAAUUAGGUUAUAUUAUGAAUUGGGUCAAGAUUGUAUAAGACAAUGAACAUUGUUCUUAUUUUGUCGACUUUCUAUAAAUGUUAUGUCCCAGAGACAGAUAAAGUCAUAGCACGGUUGUU